GAUGAACGCUAGCUACAGGCUUAACACAUGCAAGUCGAGGGGUAACAAGAGGAAAGCUUGCUUUCCUUGUUGACGACCGGCGCACGGGUGAGUAACGCGUAUCCAACCUGCCUAUAACUAGGGAAUAACCUUGCGAAAGUAAGACUAAUACCCUAUGAUUUCCUUUGAUGACAUCAGAUUAGGAAUAAAGAUUUAUCGGUUAUAGAUGGGGAUGCGUCUGAUUAGCUUGUUGGCGGGGUAACGGCCCACCAAGGCAACGAUCAGUAGGGGUUCGGAGAGGAGGGUCCACCUCAUUGGAACUGAGACACGGGCCAAACUCCGACGGGAGGCAGCAGUGAGGAAUAUUGGUAAAUGGGCGGAAGCCUGAACCAGCCAAGUAGCGUGCAGGGUGACGGCCCUAUGGGUUGUAAACUGCUUUUAUACAGGAAUAAAGUUAGCCACGUGUGGUUAUUUGUAGGUACUGUAUGAAUAAGGACCGGCUAAUUCCGUGCCAGCCGCCGCCGUAA
rnacentral:rRNA from 1 species